GACGUCAUCGCCGUGCGCUGCCACGUCUGCUCAGCUCCGCGGCGGGGGCUGCCUGCGUCCAAGCAGCUGGUUUGCAGCGUUCCAACGCUGGGAGGGAGUUCCCUUACCUGGGGUCCAGUCUGUAAAGUUGUCGCCGCUUUCUAGGGACCCCGCCCCACCGGCUGGGACUCUUCCAUGCAGUUGAAACUGGUUGACAACCAUUAACCUGGGUUGCAACUACAGGUGGCACUGGAAGCAGACUGGUUCCUGGACAUGCCCGGUGGAAGGAGGGGCCCUAGUCGGCAACAGCUAAGCCGUUCAGCUUUACCUUCUUUGCAGACUUUGGUUGGUGGAGGCUGUGGCAAUGGAACAGGCUUGAGAAACAGGAAUGGUAGUGCUAUUGGCCUUCCAGUCCCACCUAUCACAGCCUUAAUCACCCCAGGUCCUGUUCGUCAUUGCCAAAUUCCUGACUUGCCUGUGGAUGGGAGCCUACUCUUUGAAUUCCUUUUUUUCAUCUACCUGUUGGUUGCUCUUUUCAUUCAGUACAUCAACAUUUAUAAAACAGUGUGGUGGUAUCCUUACAAUCAUCCUGCUUCUUGUACAUCACUG
rnacentral:lncRNA from 1 species